AGUGAACGCUGGCGGUAGGCCUAACACAUGCAAGUCGAACGGCAGCACAGUAAGAGCUUGCUCUUACGGGUGGCGAGUGGCGGACGGGUGAGGAAUACAUCGGAAUCUACUUUUUCGUGGGGGAUAACGUAGGGAAACUUACGCUAAUACCGCAUACGACCUACGGGUGAAAGCAGGGGAUCUUCGGACCUUGCGCGAUUGAAUGAGCCGAUGUCGGAUUAGCUAGUUGGCGGGGUAAAGGCCCACCAAGGCGACGAUCCGUAGCUGGUCUGAGAGGAUGUUCGGCCACACUGGAACUGGGACACGGUCCAGACUCCUACGGGAGGCGGCAGUGGGGAAUAUUGGGCAAUGGGCGCAAGCCUGAUCCAGCCAUACCGCGUGGGUGAAGAAGGCCUUCGGGUUGUAAAGCCCUUUUGUUGGGAAAGAAAAGCAGCAGGUUAAUACCCCGCUGUUCUGACGGUACCCAAAGAAUAAGCACCGGCUAACUUCGUG
rnacentral:rRNA from 1 species